UAACCUGCUCUUGUUGCAUCACACCCAUCACACGAUACUACCGACGUGGUUUACAGCAUUGUUUUAUAGAAACAGAGAAAAUCGUUAUUUUUAUCAUGUUACGUAAGUGUUUCACAUAUUUGAGGCGUAUUUGGGAGCUCAUUCCAUUCAACAGCUCUACACACACCUGUCUUAAAAGUCCACACAUAUAAUUAAAAUUAAAUAGGUGCACCAAUGCAUACCUGUUGUAUGACAAAUAUUUUUAAAUUGCUGUUAUUUUCCGCCUAAAUUUAUCAUACCUGUUUUUCCCGUCAAAGGAGGUUCCUUAUUACAAGCAAGCAAAAAACAGGUAGACCUACUUUGGUUUGCCUCGAAUUAAGCAUAAAAGACACUCAGUAGACUCAACAGGCACGAGACCUGGAUACAUCACAUUUGAGAUGGGCUAAAUGUUGUGUUGUUUGUCUGCUGAACUUUUUUUGUACACUCAUAACGACAAUUGCUACAUAUUGUUGUUCAUUUGUAUUUUCAUUAUUACUCUGACUAAGAGUUUUGUUUGCUCUAUAGUGUAUACUUAAUUCUUUCUCAUUUAAAAGGAUUGGAUCGCAGAAAUCUGAUUGUGUUUUGGGUGUUGGCAUUUAAAAGACCUUUUACUGAUAAGUGAUAAUGAGAUUAUAAAUGAGUACUUCUCAGUAUUUAUAGUAUCUUACUGAAUUUACCUUCCAGAUGUUUUCCAUGGGGUUUCCAAGUAUUCCAUUGUAAAUCCUCAGAUGAUUCACAGAUGGUCUAGGAGCAUUAACAGUCCACGACAUUCAAAAGAGAAAUAUGGAGAUGAGACCUUGUCAUAUGCAAUCACUAUAGACAAUAAAAAGCACGUCCUUCAUCUGAAAAAGAACAGAGACUUCUUACACUCAAAUUUUGUUCAGUAUUUGCGUGAUGCCACCGGUAACUACGACACAUCAUAUCCAGCAAAUCAAGUGCAUUGCUAUUACCACGGAGAAGUGGAAGGAUAUAAGAAUUCACUUGUAGCAGUUAGCACAUGCUCUGGUCUCAGAUGCUAAUGUAUUGGAUGGCCUACCCUGUGAAAACAAUACUGCGUACUGCUAUGAAGGACGCUGUCAGACAUAUGAUUAUCAGUGCAGACAUCUGUUCGCACCAGAUAAUGCAAUAAAAGCAGCAGAUAUUUGUUUCCAAGAUGCAAAUAUGCAGGGAGAUCGGUUUGGUAACUGUGGAAUCAACAGCAAUGGAAACUACAUCAAAUGUACUUUAGCAAAUGCCAUGUGUGGAAAGGUGCAGUGCGCCAAUGUGGAUGUGUAUAACCCUCCUCCUGGUGUCACAGUCAGUAUCAAAAUAGUUGCUGGGAAGACUUGUGUUAAUGCAGACUUCAACCUUGGUACCGAUGUGGUAGAUCCAGCCUAUGUUAACCCUGGCAGCCCUUGUGGUAAAGGAAAGGCCUGUCUGGACUUUCAGUGUGUGAAUGCCUCAGCUCUCCUGCCCAACCUGGACUGUGAUGCAAAUACCACCUGCAAUAGCCAAGGGGUAUGUAAUGAUCAAGGGCACUGCCACUGUGAAGAUGGCUGGGCCCCACCUAAUUGUGACAAGUCAGGGCACGGUGGCAGCAUAGACAGUGGUCCUGCUCAGGUAGGUGGACUUGAAUAGACCUAUGAUCAUCAAUGCUGAGUUGGGCUAACAAAGUCCUUUGAAUUCAUCAUUAGAGACACAGUAUUUCAAAUUACUGUUGAAUAAAUUGUUCCGUUCCUCCACUGACAUGGUUGUGGUAACUUAUUCUGAUCUAGGCAAUUUGGUGAAACUGUUUUGUGUAAAUUUCCCAGUUUAACUAUAUGCGUGUUGGAUCAGAAAUAACAUAAUUAUCAAGUUAUGAUGUGUGAUCAUCCAUGUUCUAUCCAGUUGAUGCCUGCACAGAUAAAAAGCUAAAACUUUAUCUGGUUUAAAUUUGGUCACAACAAGUGAACUCUUUGUGCACCUCUUAAUAGCCUCUGGCACUGAUACUAUUACUUGUUACUAUUUAUUAAAAGUCACUGAUUUUUGGUAAUCUGAUUUAAAAACAUGACAAAACAAAAAGUUAUUGAUAUACGUUGCUAAUCCAUUAAGUAAUAAGACUUUCUCUACCACAGACUGCUCUUUCAGGAACAGCCUCCUGGUCUUCUUCCUGUUGGUGGUUCAUCCUCUGGUCUUUCUCAUUCUGGUGUCGCUCUACAUUUUGAGACACACUGUAAAUAUCUUAAUCAUCUCGACAGAGAAAGGAAACACUGCCUUUUUUGUUGUUAUUUAAGGAAGAAAUGAUGCUUUUGCUUAAAAUGUAAUCAGUGCAGGGGCAAGGGAAGUUGACUAAAUUAAAAGUGAACUCCUAUUUUUAAUGUAUCUUUCAAUAAUAUCUUUAUGUUCACUGAUUUCACAUCUACCUUAAAGGGAGAUACACAAGCUGAUCUGCCUAACUGGUUUCACUUGAAUUAAAUGUCAGUGUUUGGUAUGGAGAACUGGAAUGUUGGAAUGCAGAAAAACUAUCAGUUCCGGUUCAUGUUCUCCUUUGUAUUUUUUUUUUAUCAUUAAUACCUGUUCAGGAAAGCCAUGUAUGAGCCAAAGGUUCAGUUUGGAAGAAUAGAGGAGAAGGGAUGUGUGGUUCAGUUUUGUCAUGAAACCGUCAGCAGGGGUCACUAUUUUAAAAGCUUUUGUAGACAAAUAACACAGGUCAGUGGAUUGAGAUCAAUGAUAGAAACGGUUAAUAGCUCUGACACAAACAAACUGAACAAUCACUUUAAUUUUUCUCAAUACUUUGAAACAUUGACUUCUAAUUACUUAUCCGUCUUCUAAACCUUAAGCAUACUUUUCUGCACUGAGAGCCUCCAAAGUCAAGGCAGAGAGACAUUUCACUGGAUCAAUCAGACCCUUUGCUCCUUAUUGUCACCUUUGCCCUGCCUUGCACCCAUUUAGCAUCAUAGUGCGAGCCAUUUUAUUUGCUGAAAUCCAAAUAAACCUACCUUCUUCUGAAAUUGAGACUAGAGUUUAUCAGGUCAGCUUUUUGAACUUGAAAUUCUGUGUAAGUAACUAUUAUUAUUUCUGUCAUUAUUGUAAUGUAUAUUUUCAUGCAGUUCACAAAGGAUCUUCUUUUGAUUUGGCCAUUGUAAAUCUCAAGUCUGCUUUUAAAAGACAACCAGUUUGCAGCCAAUGGUACAUAGUAAAACUUUUCAUGGUGACGAAACUUGAAUGCUUGGUUGUCAUAAAUAGGUGUACCUUUGGCUGGGUGUUGUCUGGAAUGCAGACUCAAAGUACACUGAAAAGGUACUUAAGGUGAAGCCAAAGAUCCAAAAGGCCAUUAUACAAACAGAAUCCAGAAAUUCAACCAGUCGCAACUCAAGUAGCCAAAAGUAGUAUAAUGUAACAAAAAUCUAAAGCAAGAAGUGGGCUUAAAUACAUACAAAGUGAUCAAUGGAAGUGCACAAAGCAGGAUAAUGAGAAACACCUGAUUCUGAUCAAAGAUAAUGAGGCAGGAAGGUAUUUAAUUACAGCUCAUUUUAGCUGCACUUCUCGUCACACUUAACUUGGUAAGAAUGGAUUUGACCAAUGAAAUGAGCUACCAAAAAUAAAAUAUUAAUGAAUUCAUAAAAAAAUAUGAAGCUA